rnacentral:rRNA from 1 species
GUAAAGCUCUGUUGUUAGGGAAGAACAAGUGCCGUUCAAAUAGGGCGGCACCUUGACGGUACCUAACCAGAAAGCCACGGCUAACUACGUGCCAGCAGCCGCGGUAAUACGUAGGUGGCAAGCGUUGUCCGGAAUUAUUGGGCGUAAAGGGCUCGCAGGCGGUUUCUUAAGUCUGAUGUGAAAGCCCCCGGCUCAACCGGGGAGGGUCAUUGGAAACUGGGGAACUUGAGUGCAGAAGAGGAGAGUGGAAUUCCACGUGUAGCGGUGAAAUGCGUAGAGAUGUGGAGGAACACCAGUGGCGAAGGCGACUCUCUGGUCUGUAACUGACGCUGAGGAGCGAAAGCGUGGGGAGCGAACAGGAUUAGAUACCCUGGUAGUCCACGCCGUAAACGAUGAGUGCUAAGUGUUAGGGGGUUUCCGCCCCUUAGUGCUGCAGCU